GUUUUGUCGUUACCUUACGACGAAAUAACGAUGCUUCUCUUUUUCCACGUACUUUCCUCGUAAAAUCAACGUACUUUUACGAGGAUUAUUUUUCCUCGUUAAUUAUCCUCGUUAAACUUACGUUUUCUUGUAGUGUAUAUAUUGAAGUGAAAAAUGAAACAAAAAUGUUUGGGUAAAUCUUGAACAUUUUAUUAUUGAUUUUUUUUUACCAUUGGAUAAUUACGCUAUUACACCUAUGAUAAAUAUUACAGACAAUUUUACAGCCAACAAUUCUACCUGCCAUAUGAGGAUUUAAGCCUGACUGCAUCACCCGAGCUCCCCUAUGGAUCCACGUUUGACGUUACUCAUUGCGUCAUGCUACAUAUCUUUUAUACGAUUUUUCUCCUUUAUUAUUGAUUUAUUAUUGACUUUUCUAGGAAUAAAGAUUAUGCACAAAAAUCCAUAUAAAUCAACUAUCUUAUAUAUUAAAAGAGAAGUCUCAACCUUGAUUCAUGUGUGAUUUAAAAAAAAAAUGAAUCUAAUGGACCUAUUACUAAAAGCUAAUGUUACAUUUAAUAUUUAAUCAAGGUUGUUAUUAUGCCUAACUAAAUGACAUCAAUAUCCAUACAAUUCCGUAAUCAAAUAACCACUAAAAUCUCGAAACCUAUUCCAUUUUGGAAACAAACUUUAACGACUAACAAAAUAUCCAAACGAUUUUUUCAAAAAAAAUUACUUGAGGAUUGCAACAUAGAAUAUUCUAUGGAUUCGUAUCAAAACUAAUUGCCCUUAACUAAUCCCGAAAUCUUCUAUAUUUUUCCAUAACAACUAAUACAUAGAAUAUUAGUCGUUAAAGGUUUAUGGAGAUACUAACAAAAUAUCCAAACGAUUUUUUCAAAAAAAGUUGCUUGAGGAUUGCAACAUAGAAUAUUCUUUGAAUUCGUAUCAAAACUAAUUGCCCUUAACUAAUCACGAAAUUUUCUGUAUUUUUCAAUAACAACUAAUACAUAAUAUCCUAUAUUUAUUGCAUUCAUAAAAAAAUAUAUCAAUAUCCACAAUAUAUUAAGAAUAACAACCGAAUCAUAAAUAUCCACAAUAUAUUAUAGUUUUCACCGAAUAUACUCACUACAAUACCCUAAAUAUUUAACCAUCUAUAUAUACCAACGAUGAAACUAUCUUCGACGUCAACUAAAUUUUCCUUCAGCCAUGUCUAAAAAUAAGAGUAUUUCUUUGCUAAAAGCUAUCAAGCCAUACAAACAGGGAUGGUGCAUCCAAGUGAAGUUGAUUCAUUCAUGGAGACAGAAAACCAACUAUGGAGGAGAUACUCUUGAGUUGAUAUUUGCAGAUGAAACAGUGAGAUACAUUAAUAUUUAUUUGUCAAUAUAUGUUUCUCAUGUUAGUGUACUAAUCUGUGUAUAUAUUUACGUUUCAGGGUGCAAAAAUCCUCUGUUCAUGUAAGAUGAAUUACAUUCAACGUACUCAACGCAAGUUGAGUCUUGGUGAAUGGCGACUGAUAGAGACGUUUUCAGUCUCUCAAGCAGGGGGACAGUAUCGGCCAACAAACCAUACCUACAAGAUGUCUAUCAUUGAGGACACUUCGAUAUCACCGAGUUCUUAUGAGUGUGAUGAUAACUUUCUCAGAUUCUCCAUUUUUGAAGAGAUUGGAAAUGGAACCCUCAAGACUUCUUUCCUAAUUGGUUAGUGUAUGAAUCAUCUAUUUUUAUUGUAGCAAAAUGAAAUACUAAUAUGAAACAUGCAUAUUUCAGAUGUCAUUGGUCAAGUGAUCAGUUUUCGUGACGUUCAAAGUGUCCAUGUAUCUGGAAAAGAUAAGAAGAAAGUUGAAUUCCGCUUGCUUGACAUCAAGUAUGUGAAUCUUAUCUAUUCGUUAUUUUCCAAUCAUUUAUAUCAAAUAUAUAUUCUUUGUAACUCUAUAUUAUGGACUUUAAAUUUCAGUGGCCAAAGCAUCGCCUGUUGUUUAUGGGGAAAAUAUGUAGAACAGCUUGAAGAGCAUCUCCAAAAGUCAAAUGAUCCUAGUAGGGUGUGCUUGAUCCGAUUUGCGAAAAUUGUUUUUUACAAAGAAACUUUACGAAUUAGAACCUAUGUUAUUCAAGUGUAUUGAUUUAUAUUUAUAGAUCUUGAUUAAAGUUAUUAUCCCAUACUUAUGUUUUAUUGAUGAUGUACAAGUAACCAAUGCAUUUGAUGCAUCUCUUAUCCAACUCGAUCCUGAAUUGCCCGAAACUCUUGCUUUAAAGCUGAGGGUCUCUAAUAAUGAGUUUGCUCUUGCUCUUACUGAUACAAAGAAAGAAAAGCGUCUGACAAAGAACCAAACUGUUCAUUGGAAUAAUGUGGAUAUCAAAUCUAUCUCCGAAAUCAUGAUGGCAACUGUGGUUUUGUUCUUGAAUCCUAGCUCAUUUUAUUUACCAUCAUAUUUAUAUUUUGAAUUCUGACAACUAUCUUUACUUUGCGCUUUUAGGAGGAGGAUUGCAAGAUUAUCUGCUCAAUCGAAUGUAUGGAUACAGAUUGAAGCUGGUUUUACUUUGGCCAUAACAGUUGUAAGAGUAAAGCCUUAAUACUCAAAUCUAAGGAAGGUGGAAUUUUGUUUUCAAAUGAAAAGCCAUUGUUCUGGUGCACAUCUUGUCAUUCUAAGGUCACGAGUGUAGCACCAAAGUGAGUUUAACCUGGUUUUUAAAGUACUCCAUUAUGUUUUAAUAUAGAUUGUUAAUUCAGCCGAACUUAUUAUGAUCUUCCUGAUCAGAUGCAAACUGCAUAUGGUUGUCAAAGAUGACACAAGUACUUGCAAACUGAUAAUGCUUGAUUCAGUUGGUAAACUCAUAGUCGGAUGUGAAGCUGAAGAACUUUGGGAUGGCUCCUAUGAUGAGGUUACUAUCUAUUUGAUUUUUUUGUUGGUUUAAUUAUGGUGGUUUUAGUGAGUCACUAAAGUUUUAUUUUUAUAUUGAUCUUUGAGUAUGCAGAUUGAAUAUCCGACAGAUUUGCCUCAACCUAUUCAAGAUUUAGUUGGUAAAUCUCUGUGUUUUGGUAUCACUCUUGGUUCUGAAAAUGUUGCAAAUGGAUCAGAUGUCUUUCUCGUUUCACAAGUUUGUUCUGGGGAUAAGAUUCUUCAGAUCGAGUCAAAUUCUGAGCCAAUCACUAAUGUUAUUGAUGGUUCAUCAAUCAUGUCUGGUAGAGAGGUAAAAAUUUAAAAACUAUGAGUGUUUAUAUUGUUUGUAUCCUUUUGGUAGUUGUACAGUUUGAUUAGUGUUAUUCAUGUUAUGUUGUUUGUGGACUUAAUAAUAAACAACAUUAAAAAACUGGUUAAAACCAGUGUUUGAUCUCUGAUCGUUGCAGCUAUGUACACGAUUGAGUUUCAGAAACGUGGGCUGCCACAUGCUCACAUUCUCUUAUUUAUGCAUCCUACGGCCAAGCUUCGGACAACAGAUGAUAUUGACAAGAUCAUCUCAGCUGAGAUUCCUGAUAAGUCUCAAGAGCCAGAGUUGUACGAUAUCAUUAAGGAUAUGAUGAUUCAUGGACCAUGUGGAGCUGCUAAUAUGAAUUCUCCUUGCAUGGAGAAUGGGAAAUGUUCGAAGCUUUACUCUAAAUCAUUUGCUGAGAAGACAAAAGUGAGUAAAGAAGGAUUUCCGAUUUACCGUAGAAGAGAAGAUACAUAUCGUUAUGUAGAGAAGAAUGGGGUGAAAUGUGACAACAGAUUUGUUAUUCCUUAUAACAAGAAACUAUCUCUAUGUUAUCGAGCUCAUAUAAAUGUAGAAUGGUGCAACCAGGCUGGUUCUAUAAAGUACUUAUUUAAGUACAUUAAUAAAAGAAGUGAUCGUGUGACAGUAGCUGUGGAACCACCAGAUCACAUGGUUGCAGAGGCGCUUGGUAUUCCAGAAGGAGAAGUGGACCAAAGAAAAAGGAAUGAAUUCAAGGAGUUCUUUGAUUGCACGUAUUUUUUUUUGCUUUUGUAACUACACAACGGAAUUUAUUUGAAUCAGUGCAUGAUAUAAAAAAACUAAUGAAAUCUGUUUUGUUUGGACGUGUAGAUAUGUUUCUUCGUCAGAAGGAUCAUGGAGAAUUUUUAAGUUCCCCAUUCAUUAUAGGUCUACUGCAGUUGAGAAGUUUAAUUUCCAUCUACCAUGCAAACAAACUAUUAUUUUUAAAAAAAAAGACAAGCUGGAAGCAGUGAUCAGUCGUAAACUCAUUGAGAAUACAAUGUUCUUAGCAUGGUUUGACUUGUGUAAAGUUGAUGAUCUGGCUAAAACUCUCACCUAUGCUCAGAUUCCUAACUUCUUUACCUCUCCGAAUCAACUAUGCUCCACGUAAUCAAGAACAUGCUUAUUAUCUCCGUGUGCUGUUGAACUAUGUGAGAGGUCCUACGAGUUAUGAUGACAUCAAAACAUUUGAAGGUGUUGUUUAUCCAAGCUACAAAGAUGCAUGUUAUGCUCGAGGAUUGUUAGAUGAUGAUCAAGAGUACAUUGAUGAUAUCCUAAGGAUAAGCUAUGAAAGCACAUGAGCUGAACUAAGACAAUUAUUUGUUAUGAUGCUCAUGAACAACAGUUUAUUUGGGCCUGAGGAUGUUUGGGAGAAGACUUGGGAAUGUCUUUCAGGUGAUAUUGAGCAUCACAGGCGUAAAACUUUCAAGAGGCCAGGUAAUUUUACUUCUCUAAAGAUGAAGCGGAUGUUUCAUAAUUUUUCAAUAUACGCUCUGUAAUUUGGUUGGCUUCUUUACUGCGUGACUUACACUGUCCACUUACUGGUCCUGCAACACUCUAUUGUGAUAUCCAGUCUGCUCUGCAUAUUGCCUCUAAUCCGGUUUAUCAUGAGCGGACGAAGCAUAUUGAAAUCGAUUGUCAUGUUGUUCGAGAGAAGCUGCAGAGUGGAUUCUUGAAGACAAUGCAUGUGAAGUCUGCACAUCAACUUGCGGAUGUCUUCACUAAAGCGGUGCAGCCUGCUCUGUUUCAUCAGCUCACACUCAAGAUAGGUCUUCACCAUUUGUUUGCUCCAUCUUGAGAGGGGGGGGGGGGGGGGGGGGUAUUCAAGUUAUAUACCGGUUAAAUGUUGUUCCGGUUUAGUACGGUUUAAGUUUCCUUUCGCUUAACCAACUAACUAUAUAUAUUGAUACAUUAUAUAGUUACAGAACUUGAGCUGAAUAAUAUAAAUUUUUACAUUUCCUUUCAUCAUCUUCUUCCCAUUGAUUCAUCAUCUUCAAUUCUUCUAAUACUUCAUAUUAUGCUAGCAUUAGCAGAUUUUUUUUUUUUGGGGUUAUAUCAAGCGCUUGACUGGUUUUGCAGCUCGGGGCAGCAGGCACCGACAUCAAACUCCCAAGUCUUUCUUCUGGUGUUGUUGUUUGUGGUGAACAUGUGAGUCUCAUCAUUCGCCUAAGCUCUGAUCCCCAGCCUCCAUAUGUUCAAUGGCAUACAUAACCCUUUUUAACCUGAGGAUAUCUUGACCGAAACCUAACUAUUAUAAGAUUUUAUCGUGAUAAUUACAACUUUUUUUUACACUGAAGUAUAUUAUGUUUAGGUUACUUGAUUAAAAAAACCUUAUUUAUUUAAUAUUAUCGUCCUAUUAGGUGAUCAGAUACUAAAUAUUUUACUACUAAAAUAAAUAUUGUCUUAUGUAGAAAUCAAUUUGAGAAUCCAAUCUAUAUUAAGUAACUCUAUUGGUGGAAAAUAUCCAUUAAAUUUUAAAAUAUAUAAUCAUUAUAAUUUUAAUUCUCUUUUGUAAUUUUUAAUGUAGUUUAACUAAAAGAAUUUCCUAAAUAUUUAUUUUAUAUUGACGAAUGAUAUUUUGAAAUAUAUUAAAUUACAUCUUAAAUAUACUUUCUUUUUUUUUUUGUAAAAGGGCAUACAUUUUAAAUAUUCUUAAUUGUGUUAUUUAAUUAUAUUUAUUUAUAUCAUUGUACAAUUAGACAAUAAUAAAACAAUAAAUAUUAAUAAAGGAAGAAAAAUCUAUAUUUACAAUAAAUUUCAGUUUUCACAUAUUUUGAAAAUAUGUAUUUUUAUUGAUUUUUAGGUUUAGCUACUCUUUAAAAUAUCUGUAGCAGAUCGAUCUUCUCUUAUGAUAGUGCUAAACGUUAUCAACAGUUUCGGUCCUGAGUACAUGCGUAAGAAAUAUUUGCAUGGGGUUUUUAUUUUUCUAAAGCCUACAUUUAAAACAAAAAUUAAAAUAACAAUAGAUAUUUUAAAUAUUUGAUCAAAAAUAUAGUAUCAAAAAUAUUAAACUAAUAUAAUUUAUGUAUAAAAACUUAUUAAAUAUGUAAAUAUGAAUUUACAAAAAAAAACUGUUUAGUUUUUUAAAUAAUGUUAUAUUUCCUCCGUUUCAAAAUAAAUGUCGUUUUAUAGUUAUAAUGCAAAUUUUAUUAAACUUAUAUUCUAAUAUAUUUUUCUAUUGGUUGAAAUGUGGUUAGUUGUAUUGGUAAUGAUAUUUUUAUCUAGUAAAUAUACAAAAUUAAACGUUUUCUUAAUUUGUAUGUUUAAGUCUAAAACGAUAAUUAAAAUGAAACGGAGAGAGUAACAUAUAAAAUUUUGCAUAAUUAUUUAUUUUAUGGUAAAAUAUUUCUAUAUUGUAUAAGGUUUUGUAAAUUUCAAGACGGCUCUGAUAGUCUGAUUAGCAACUAUGGGUUUUUGAACAGAGAAGACGUAGAGGAAAUAAAUCAGCUAAGCAGCAAAUGGUUAGAUUUCCCGUCAUACAAUAUCACAUGUAGUAAGGUAAAAAUAACUUAUAAUCACAGAUUCACAGUAUAUUAUAACUUCCCGGAAUGGUGUAACCUGCAUAUUGUUACCAAUAUUUCGGUAUGUUUCCACAUAUCUCAACUUUUUAUCUAUGACAUUCAUAUUAGUAAUAGUGUCACAUGAUAGUACUACUUUCCUUUGGGUUCGACAUCAUUAACAGCAUUUCUAAACAAUAUGAAAGCCAUGUUUGUCAGUGGAAGCAACUCACUGAUAAUCUACAUAAAUAGUAUAUAUUAACACCUAUCUUAACGCACAUAUCGGUAUAAUUGGUCAACUCAUUAUAUAAUAACCCCUUUUAACAAAGCAUAUUGAGCAAAUCAAGAACUAAACAAGACAAUGAGUUAAUAACUCAAUCAACAGUCAAAUAAAAUUCAAGUUCAUCCAAAUUAUAUCCCAAAUAUUUAAACAUAAAAA